rnacentral:misc_RNA from 1 species
AAAUGCGAUAAGUAAUGUGAAUUGCAGAAUUCCGUGAAUCAUCGAAUCUUUGAACGCACUUUGCGCCCUCUGGUAUUCCGGGGGGCAUGCCUGUCCGAGCGUCAUUGCGAACCCCUCAAGCACGGCUUGUGUGAUGGGCCCUCCCGCGUCUUGGUCGUCAAGACGGGCCCGAAAUGCAGUGGCGGCUUCGCGGUUAUCCGAUCAGCCAGAGCGUAUGGGGACUUUCUCUCUGUCACACGCCCGCGGCGCGGACCGACGCCUGUCGACCUUCAUUCAUCGUUUUCUCGGUUGACCUCGGAUCAGGUAGGGAUACCCGCUGAACUUAAGC